GGUUGUAGCACUUACGGGAGGAAUACUGAAAUUACCUUUCAACUGACAUUACCGAUAGAAAAAGCACCGGCUAAUUCCGUGCCACGCCGCGGUAAUACGGGAGUGGCAGCGUAUCCGAAUUAUUGGGCGUAAAGCGUCGCAGGCGGUCUUGUAAGUCUGUCGUAAAGCGUGGAGCUUAACUCCAUUUGAGCGAUGGAAACUGCAGACUAGAGUGUGGUAGGGGCAGAGGGAAUUCCCGGUGUAGCGGUGAAAUGCGUAGAUAUCGGGAAGAACACCAGUUGGGGGNCGAAGGCGCUCUGCUGGGCCAUAACUGACGCUCAUGGACGAAAGCCAGGGGAGCGAAAGGGAUUAGAUACCCCUGUAGUCCUGGCCGUAAACGAUGAACACUAGGUGUCGGGGGCAAUCGACCCCCUCGGUGUCGUAGCCAACGCGUUAAGUGUUCCGCCUGGGGAGUACGCACGCAAGUGUGAAAA
rnacentral:rRNA from 1 species